rnacentral:rRNA from 1 species
UACGGAGGGUGCAAGCGUUAUCCGGAUUUACUGGGUUUAAAGGGUGCGCAGGCGGAUAUGUAAGUCAGUGGUGAAAUCUCCGGGCUUAACCCGGAAACUGCCGUUGAUACUAUAUAUCUUGAAUGCUGUGGAGGUAAGCAGAAUAUGUCAUGUAGCAGUGAAAUGCUUAGAGAUGACAUAGAAUACCUAUUGCGAAGGCAGCUUACUACGCAGAUAUUGACGCUCAUGCACGAAAGCGUGGGGAUCAAACAGG